AUGGGCUGGAGAGAUGGCUCAGUGGUUA
rnacentral:piRNA from 2 species